AUUCAGAACUGCAGCCCACCACAACUCCAAUUCUUCCUCAGUGAAGUCGUGAUUAGAUAUGGAACGGAAAUCUACAGAAGACAUUGAUCCCCCUAUGCAGACAGAGAGGCACUUUUCAUUUUCGUAAUUAACACAGUAUAUAUUCUAAUAAGUGUAACAUAGUGAUCAUUUCUUUUCCCGAACAAUUUUAUAAAUGAGUUCUUUGAUCACAGAUAUGAAAUGA
rnacentral:misc_RNA from 1 species